rnacentral:snRNA from 1 species
GGAGCCACCGGGCAGGGGAGGUCCCACGGUCACGAAGGCCGUUUUCCCGGGCGAGGCCCAUCCAUUGCGCUCGGAUGUGCUGACCCCUGCGACUUCCCCAAAUGCGGGAAGCUUGACUGCAUAGCUUGUGUGGGGGGAGUACCUGAGAGUGGGGCAGGGAGCUAACCGAGGCGGGCUUCCU